AUUGAACGCUGGCGGCAUGCCUUACACAUGCAAGUCGAACGGCAGCACGGGAGCAAUCCUGGUGGCGAGUGGCGAACGGGUGAGUAAUAUAUCGGAACGUGCCCAGUCGUGGGGAUAACGUAGCGAAAGCUACGCUAAUACCGCAUACGAUCUAUGGAUGAAAGCGGGGGAUCGCAAGACCUCGCGCGAUUGGAGCGGCCGAUAUCAGAUUAGGUAGUUGGUGAGGUAAAGGCUCACCAAGCCGACGAUCUGUAGCUGGUCUGAGAGGACGAUCAGACACACUGGAACUGAGACACGGUCCAGACUCCUACGGGAGGCAGCAGUGGGGAAUUUUCCGCAAUGGGCGAAAGCCUGACGGAGCAAUACCGCGUGAGGGAAGAAAGCCUACUGGGUUGUAAACCUCUUUUUUUCUAGGGAGGGAAAAAAGUAAA
rnacentral:rRNA from 1 species